rnacentral:rRNA from 1 species
CCGCAUUGUAAUUUGUAGAGGANGCUUCGGGAGCGGUCCCCAUCUAAGUGCCCUGGAACGGGCCGUCAUAGAGGGUGAGAAUCCCGUAUGGGAUGGGGUGCCCGCGCCCGUGUGAAGCUCCUUCGACGAGUCGAGUUGUUUGGGAAUGCAGCUCUAAUUGGGUGGUAAAUUUCAUCUAAAGCUAAAUAUUGGCCGGAGACCGAUAGCGCACAAGUAGAGUGAUCGAAAGAUGAAAAGCACUUUGAAAAGAGAGUUAAACAGCACGUGAAAUUGUUGAAAGGGAAGCGCUUGCGAUCAGACUCGCUCGCGGGGUUCAGCCGGCCUUCGGGCCGGUGUACUUCCCCGCGGGCGGGCCAGCGUCGGUUUGGGCGGCCGGUCAAAGGCCCCUGGAAUGUAACGCCUCUCGGGGCGUCUUAUAGCCAGGGGUGCCAUGCGGCCUGCCCGGACCGAGGAACGCGCUUCGGCUCGGACGCUGGCAUAAUG